GACGAACGCUGGCGGCGUGCCUAAUACAUGCAAGUAGAACGCUGAAGAGAGGAGCUUGCUCUUCUUGGAUGAGUUGCGAACGGGUGAGUAACGCGUAGGUAACCUGCCUUGUAGCGGGGGAUAACUAUUGGAAACGAUAGCUAAUACCGCAUAACAAUGGAUGACACAUGUCAUUUAUUUGAAAGGGGCAAUUGCUCCACUACAAGAUGGACCUGCGUUGUAUUAGCUAGUAGGUGAGGUAAUGGCUCACCUAGGCGACGAUACAUAGCCGACCUGAGAGGGUGGUCGGCCCCACUUGGACCUGGACACCGCCCAGACUCCUACGGGAGGCCGCAGUAGGGGAUCUUCGGCCAAUGGGGCAACCCUGACCGAGCAACGCCGCGUGAGUGAAGAAGGUUUUCGGAUCGUAAAGCUCUGUUGUAAGUCAAGAACGGGUGUGAGAGUGGAAAGUUCACACUGUGACGGUAGCUUACCAGAAAGGGACGGCUAACUACGUG
rnacentral:rRNA from 1 species